UGUGUGUGUCUGUGUCUGUGCCUGUGUGUGUGUGUGUGUGUGUGUGUGUGUGUGUGUGUGUGUGUGUGUGUGUCUGUGUGUCUGUGUCUGUGUCUGUGUGUGUGUGUGUGUGUGUCUGUGUCUGUGUCUGUGUCUGUGUGUGUCUGUGUCUGUGUCUGUGUCUGUGUGUGUCUGUGUCUGUGUCUGUGGGUGUGUGUGUGUGUGGGUCAGGCCCCGAGGAGAAGAUUUGAAUAAUGUGACAUUUGGAGGUCUCUUGAGAGCAGAAAGACAUGCAGUAUUAUAUGUUUAUUUUCUUGUGGGUCAUGCUAAUUAGCAACCAAGCAUUCCCUGGCCUGAAAGUGUAGUGUAGUUCAUCAUAAGUAGCCAGUAACCUUUUGACAUAGCUUUGUCUUUUGUGUUGUGUCUUUUGGGAAAUUUGUGUAAACACUGAACCAUCAGAAAUCAUAUUAAUACAAAGACAAAUGAUUCGAAGAAUGAACAUAUACAUACAUACAUAAAUACAAAAAUGCAUUCAUACAUGCAUUCAUACAUACAUACAUAUUUACAUACAGUGUGUAUUAGAUUUAAAGGUGUCCUUUGUAGGUAAUUUUUAGGUCAAGUAUAUUAUUUUUAUGUGUGUCGACUUAAAGGGAACUUUUAUAUAUUUUUUCAACACUGGAUGUGUUUUGUAUCAUGUUGUGGCGGUGGGGAAUGUUGCUGUAAAGUGAUUGUUCAUACUGGUGCAACUGUGAAAAGAUGUGCUUUAAAUGGAAAUAAUGCAUUGCAAUAUCAUGUGCAUCAGCUAAAGUGAGUGCCAAUUUCUGUUUCAUUUUUAGUCGUCAGUAUUUACAAGGAGCUUUAACUACCCUCUCAGUAUUUUCAUUGAGCCGAGGAUUAGCAUAUCAACAAGGUCCUGCAGAUAAUCAAGCUACACUUGAAACGUUUAUUGACAAAUUGUUGUCAAUAGAAGAAAUGCCUUAAAACAACACUGUCAUCCUGAUAGUUCAUACAAUUACGAGUUUAUGACGUUUUAAUCCUAAUAGAUCCGAGAUCCCAAAAGUUACUGGUAUGUAAGAGUGCCUUACAUUCUGUCCUUAUUGAUCUGCAUGAUAUACAGACACUCCAUCACAGAAAAGACAAUGACAAAUAGUUGUUUAGGAACAUUUUGUCAAAAUAAUAAUCAUAAUUACCCUGAAUAUGAUGCACAUAUAGUCUUUUUGUUCACAUUUAAUCAGGAUUCCUAUGAAUUGUUAAGUCCAAGUGAUCCAGUGAUGCCUAAUGUGAAACCUAGACUGCUACUGAGGAUUCCCUAAAGAAAGUUAAGCUUGACGCCACAUAUUUAAUAUCAUUCCUUUAAUUUGUUCCUGUAAGUUUUCACUGGGCUUUGUUUUCUUAUACCAAACCAGUUUGAAAUUCUCUACAUGAUGCAUUUCUGUUCACUUUAACACAACAGCUGAAACCUUUCAAAAGUUUUGUUUUAGAAUAACGAGCCUCACAUUUGUAUAAUGUGUAUUAUCACUGCAAGUCACUGUUUUGGUCCAGUCCACUCACUCGUUUGUUGUAUAAAUAAUGUUGAAUUUACAUUUUUAAUAUCCAUAUCUCAGUCUUAUCACUGGUAUCAGAGAACCUAUAAUUUGAUUGAACGCCAAGUGUCACUGGCGUUCUCUUCGAUGUCUUUUUGAUAUCUGUUGAUGUGUUUUUAAAUACGGUGUGACCUGCUUCUUGCUUACAGUGAUCUGAUCUUCACUGAGUGACCUCAAUCAGAACUAUCACCAGGCCUUGGUCUUAUUUUACCGCAGUUUGGGGAACAGUUCGUUUUUAAUUGUGAUAUGGUUUGGGAGCAAUGAAAAUAAUCUUAACAGCCAUUUUUAGUAAAUUGAUGAAAUGUUCAGAUAUAAAGCAACAGUGUAACACAUCAGAUGGUGUUGCCUGAACUUGGACAGAAUCCAACAUACAGUCUGCAGAUACAUCGGUGCCUGGACUGUGAAGGCCCCUUUCUGUGGCAUGUGUCUUGGUCUCUUGAUGAAAGUUUACAAAAUAACGUAUUCUCUUAGAGGAACCUAAAGUGUGAUUGGAUGAUACAACAUACACAGUUUAUUAUCCACGAUUAGAAAUUGUACGAUGUUUGGUACAGAAAAAUAGGUUCCUCUUGAAGUAUACUAUGUGCCUGUUGCUGAUUGUGUGAUUGCACUGAACACAUCACUGUAUAUGUAAUUCUCUAAAAUGAAAUGCAUGCAUAUUGUCAUGAUUUUCUACUAACUACAUUGUUAAUAAACGCCAAGGUUUAGUUUUCCUUCCUGAGUGUUUUCCUGUUUGUCCACACAUAAUAAUAAUAAUAAUAAUAAUAAUAAUAAUAAUAAUACCGUACACUUAUAUAGCACUUUUCUAUACCCAAAGACGCUUUACAUAGGGCAGAUAAAAAAAAGCUAAAAAA
ensembl:lncRNA